rnacentral:rRNA from 1 species
CACGUAGGGCGCAAGCGUUGUCCGGAAUUAUUGGGCGUAAGAGCUCGUAGGCGGUCUGUUGCGUCCGCUGUGAAAACUCGGGGCUUAACCCCGAGCCGCAGCGGAUGACGGGCAGACUAGAGGUAGGUAGGGGAGAAUGGAAUUCCCGGUGUAGCGGUGAAAUGCGCAGAUAUCAGGAAGAACACCCGUGGCGAAGGCGGCUCUCUGGGACGGUACUGACGCUGAGACGCGAAAGCGUGGGGAGCGAACAGG